rnacentral:rRNA from 1 species
AAACCAGCACCUCAAGUGGUCAGGAUGAUUAUUGGGCCUAAAGCAUCCGUAGCCGGCUCUGUAAGUUUUCGGUUAAAUCUGUACGCUUAACGUACAGGCCGCCGGGAAUACUGCAGAGCUAGGGAGUGGGAGAGGUAGACGGUACUCGGGAGGAAGUGGUAAAAUGCUUUGAUCUCUCGAUGACCACCUGUGGCGAAGGCGGUCUACCAGAACACGUCCGACGGUGAGGGAUGAAAGCUGGGGGAGCAAACCGGAUUAGAAACCCCAGUAGUCC